GUUUUCAAGGUAGCCAAGUUUGGUGGUGAGACUUGGCUAGGUCGAUGCAUGGGGCAAAGAUUUGGGAAAUUUUCAAAGUGUGUGUUUUUGAGAUUUGAUGGUUGGAAUGUAGUCUUUAUAUGACCAAAUGGCUACUUUAAAAAUCUUGGUGCAAGAAAUAUUUCGUUUUGGUUUGUUUUAAAGCUAGCCAAGUUUGGAGGUGAGACUUGGCUAGGUCAGUGCAUGGGGCCAAGAUUUGGGAAAUUUUCAAAGUGUUUGUUUUUUAGGUUUGAUGGUUGAAAUGCAGUCUUUAUAUGACCAAAUGGCUACGGUAAAAAUCUUAGUCCAACAAAUUUUUCAUUUUAGUGGCUGUUGAAGUUAUCCAAGUUUGGUGGUGAUACUUGGCUAGGUCGGUGCAUGGGGCCAAGAUUUCGGAAAUUUUCAAAGUGUUUGUUUUUGAAGUUUGAUGGUUGGAAUGCACUCUUUAUAUGACCAAAUGGAUACGGUAAAAAUCUUGGUGCAACAAAUUUUUCAUUUUGGUGGGUUUUCAAGCUAGCCAAGUUUGGUGGUGAGACUUGGCUAGGUCGGUGCAUGAGGCCAAAAUUAUAUGACCAAAUGUAUACAGUAAAAAUUUUGGCGCAAAAAAUUUUUCAUUUUGGUUUGUUUUAAAGCUAGCCAAGUUUGGUGGUGAGACUCGGCUAGGUCGUGCGUGGGGCCAAGAUUUGGAAAAUUUUCAAAGUGUUUGUUUUUGAAGUUUGAUUGUUGGAAUGCACUCUUUAUAUGACCAAAUAGCUACUGUAAAAAUCAUGGUGCAAAAAAUUUUUCAUUUUGGUGAGAUUUCAAGCUAGCGAAGUUUGGUGGUGAAACUUGGCGAG
rnacentral:lncRNA from 1 species